CUGUUCUCCCGCUCCAAAUUGGAAGGUUGCCCGAGAGGUUUAAGGGACUCGACUGCUAAUCGAGUGGGGCUUUUAGCCCCCGAA
rnacentral:tRNA from 1 species